rnacentral:rRNA from 1 species
UGGGGAAUUUUGCACAAUGGGGGAAACCCUGAUGCAGCGACGCCGCGUGAUUUAGAAGGCCUUCGGGUUGUAAAAAUCUUUUGUAUGGGAAGAAAAUGACAGUACCAUACGAAUAAGGACCGGCUAAUUACGUGCCAGCAGCCGCGGUAAUACGUAAGGUCCGAGCGUUGUCCGGAAUCAUUGGGCGUAAAGGGUACGUAGGCGGAUAAGCAAGUUAGAAGUGAAAUCCUAUAGCUCAACUAUAGUAAGCUUUUAAAACUGCUCAUCUUGAGGUAUGGAAGGGAAAGUGGAAUUCCUAGGGUAGCGGUGAAAUGCGCAGAUAUUAGGAGGAAUACCGGUGGCGAAGGCGACUUUCUGGCCAUAUACUGCCGCUGAGGUACGAAAGCGGGGGUAGCAAACAGG